AUGAUUAUGCAAACUCAGUGCUGGGCGUCCAUCAGUACUUAUGGGGAGUUGCACAACUCAGUGGUGAGAAGCCAAAGCAUGGAGUCCAUUCCCUCCAGUGCAGAGCUGAAGAAACCUGGUGACACUCUCAGUCUCUCUUGUAAAGGAUCUGGGUUUACUUUUGGGAGCUAUAACAUGCACUGGAUCAGACAGCCUGCUGGGAAAGCACUGGAGUGGAUGGGUCGCAUAAAUACGGAUGGUAGUGGCACCAUCUAUGCCAGGAGUUUCCAGGGACGGAUAGAAAUCACCAGAAACAACCCCAACAGCAUGGUGUAUCUGAAACUGUCUGGUCUGAGGGCAGAGGACUCUGCUCGGGUGGCAGUGUGA